rnacentral:rRNA from 1 species
AGAGUUUGAUCAUGGCUCAGGACGAACGUUGGCGGCGCGCUUAAUGCAUGCAAGUCGAACGAGAAACCAUCCUUCGGGAUGGCGGACAGUGGCGAACGGCUGAGUAACGCGUGAGGGAUCUGCCCUUGAGUGGGGAAUAGCCCCGAGAAAUCGGGAUUAAUACCGCAUACGCUCCUCAAUGUGGAGGUUGAGGAGGAAAGAUUUAUCGCUCUUGGAGGACCUCGUGUUCUAUCAGGUAGUUGGUGGGGUAAUGGCCUACCAAGCCUUAGACGGAUAGCUGGUGUGAGAGCACGACCAGCCAGAGGGGGACUGAGACACGGCCCCCACUCCUACGGGAGGCAGCAGCAGGGAAUCUUGCACAAUGGGCGAAAGCCUGAUGCAGCGACGCCGCGUGAGGGAUGAAGGCUCUAGGGUCGUAAACCUCUUUUAUCAGGGAAGAGCAAGGACGGUACCUGAUGAAUAAGCCACGGCUAACUACGUGCCAGCAGCCGCGGUAAUACGUAGGUGGCAAACGUUGUCCGGAAUUACUGGGCGUAAAGGGCUCGUAGGCGGUCCAACAAGUCGUUUGUGAAAUCUCCCGGCUCAACUGGGAGUGGUCGAGCGAAACUGUUGGACUUGAGGAUGUCAGAGGAAGACGGAAUUCCCGGUGUAGUGGUGAAAUGCGUAGAUAUCGGGAGGAACACCAGUGGCGAAAGCGGUCUUCUGGGGCAUUUCUGACGCUGAGGAGCGAAAGCGUGGGGAGCAAACCGGAUUAGAUACCCGGGUAGUCCACGCCCUAAACGAUGGAUGCUAGGUCUUGGGGGUAUCGACCCCCUCUGGGCCAAAGCUAACGCGUUAAGCAUCCCGCCUGGGGACUACGGCCGCAAGGCUAAAACUCAAAGGAAUUGACGGGACCCCGCACAAGCAGCGGAGCGUGUGGUUUAAUUCGAUGCUAAGCGAAGAACCUUACCAGGGCUUGACAUGCAUGUAGUAUCGAUCCGAAAGGUGAGAGACCCGUAAGGGAGCUUGCACAGGUGUUGCAUGGCUGUCGUCAGCUCGUGCCGUGAGGUGUUGGGUUAAGUCCCGCAACGAGCGCAACCCUCAUGAUCAGUUGCUUUUUCUGGUCAGACUGCCCGCAAGGGAGGAAGGUGGGGACGACGUCAAGUCAUCAUGACUCUUACGUCCUGGGCUACACACACGCUACAAUGGCCGGUACAGACGGUUGCGAAGUCGCGAGACGAAGCUAAUCUGACAAAGCCGGCCCCAGUUGGAAUUGCAGGCUGCAACCCGCCUGCAUGAACGUGGAGUUGCUAGUAACCGCAGGUCAGCACACUGCGGUGAAUACGUUCCCGGGGUUUGUACACACCGCCCGUCACGUCAUGGAAGUCGGAAGCGCUUGAAGUCGCUGGGCUAACCUCGAUUUAUCGAGGAGGCAGGCGCCGAGGGUGAAGCCGAUGACUGGGACGAAGUCGUAACAAGGUA